AUGAUGGCUCCAGUUCAACUCUUAGGGCUGCUGCUGCUUUUGCUCCCAGCCAUGAGAUGUGACAUCCAGAUGACCCAGUCUCCUUCAGUCCUGUCUGCAUCUGUGGGAGACAGAGUCACUCUCAACUGUAAAGCAAGUCAGAAUAUUAACAAGUACUUAGACUGGUAUCAGCAGAAGCUUGGAGAAGCUCCCAAACUCCUGAUAUAUAAUACAAACAAUUUGCAAACGGGCAUCCCAUCAAGGUUCAGUGGCAGUGGAUCUGGUACAGAUUUCACACUCACCAUCAGCAGCCUGCAGCCUGAAGAUGUUGCCACAUAUUUCUGCUUUCAGUGGAACACUUCUAUGUUUACAUUUUAUCCAUACUCUUCAAACCACAGUUUUUGA